AUUGAACACUGGCGGAAUGCUUUACACAUGCAAGUCGAGCGGCAGCGCGGGGCAACCUGGCGGCGAGCGGCGAACGGGUGAGUAACAUAUCGGAACGUACCCCGUCGUGGGGGAUAACACAGCGAAAGCUGUGCUAAUACCGCAUACGACCUGAGGGUGAAAGCGGGGGACUCGCAAGGGCCUCGCGCGAUGGGAGCGGCCGAUAUCGGAUUAGCUAGUUGGUGAGGUAAAGGCUCACCAAGGCGACGAUCCGUAGCGGGUCUGAGAGGACGACCCGCCACACUGGAACUGAGACACGGUCCAGACUCCUACGGGAGGCAGCAGUGGGGAAUUUUGGACAAUGGGGGAAACCCUGAUCCAGCCAUUCCGCGUGAGUGAAGAAGGCCUUCGGGUUGUACAGCUCUUUCGGCAGGAACGAAACGGUCCUUUCUAAUACAAGGGGCUAAUGACGGUACCUGAAGAAGAAGCACCGGCUAACUACGUGCCAGCCGCCGCUGUAA
rnacentral:rRNA from 1 species